GAUGAACGCUGGCGGCGUGCCUAAUACAUGCGAGUCGAGCGAACAGACGAGGAGCUUGCUCCUCUGACGUUAGCGGCGGACGGGUGAGUAACACGUGGAUAACCUACCUAUAAGACUGGGAUAACUUCGGGAAACCGGAGCUAAUACCGGAUAAUAUAUUGAACCGCAUGGUUCAAUAGUGAAAGACGGUUUUGCUGUCACUUAUAGAUGGAUCCGCGCCGCAUUAGCUAGUUGGUAAGGUAACGGCUUACCAAGGCAACGAUGCGUAGCCGACCUGAGAGGGUGAUCGGCCACACUGGAACUGAGACACGGUCCAGACUCCUACGGGAGGCAGCAGUAGGGAAUCUUCCGCAAUGGGCGAAAGCCUGACGGAGCAACGCCGCGUGGGUGAUGAAGGUCUUCGGAUCGUAAAACUCUGUUAUUAGGGAAGAACAAAUGUGUAAGUAACUAUGCACGUCUUGACGGUACCUAAACAGAAAGCCACGGCUAACUACGUG
rnacentral:rRNA from 1 species